GAUGAACGCUGGCGGCGUGCCUAAUACAUGCAAGUCGAGCGAACAGACGAGGAGCUUGCUCCUUAGACGUUAGCGGCGGACGGGUGAGUAACACGUAGGUAACCUACCUAUAAGACUGGGAUAACUUCGGGAAACCGGAGCUAAUACCGGAUAAUAUUUCGAACCGCAUGGUUCGAUAGUGAAAGAUGGCUUUGCUAUCACUUAUAGAUGGACCUGCGCCGUAUUAGCUAGUUGGUAAGGUAACGGCUUACCAAGGCAACGAUACGUAGCCGACCUGAGAGGGUGAUCGGCCACACUGGAACUGAGACACGGUCCAGACUCCUACGGGAGGCAGCAGUAGGGAAUCUUCCGCAAUGGGCGAAAGCCUGACGGAGCAACGCCGCGUGAGUGAUGAAGGUCUUCGGAUCGUAAAACUCUGUUAUUAGGGAAGAACAAACGUGUAAGUAACUGUGCACGUCUUGACGGUACCUAAUCAGAAAGCCACGGCUAACUACGUG
rnacentral:rRNA from 1 species